UCCACCAUUCUCCUCAAUACAAUCUUCCAGUAUGCUGUCAUCCUCAUCUUCAGAUCAAAAGCCUGCUGAAGAACGUCUGGAUGCUCCCACAAAUUCCCCACUUCGAUGUUUCCAAACCCCUCCAGGAAUACAGUAGCUGGGCGGUAAUCAUUUCUCAGCACCUGAUUUAAGAAUGUCUGUUGCUGGGUCAUGAGCUUGUUCCAUUCUGUUGUGUAUGCAGAAUCACAGGUGUAGUCGGUGAGCUUCUCCAUUUCUACAACCUCUGUUAUCCAACUCAUCGAUCGAUCUUUCAUCCCUUCGACGACGCUUUUCCCUGCUCGUCUGAUGGGCUGCUGGAGCUGUGGAUAGUGUUCAGAAUGCUGCAUCAACACGGCAAGGACAAUGACCUGAAUGUAAUCCCAAACUUUCAUCACAAACUCAACUGGUAAAUUUGAUAUUAAGUUCACUUUCCUCUGCAGAAUCGAGAGGAAGGCGGCACGGGGAAGGAAAUUGGGAAGUCCAAUGCCUCUGGAUUCCUCCAAGACUUUGAUCUCUUCUAUUAGAAAGUUAGCAGUGUUGUCGGUUCCGAUGCACUUGUGGAGCUCAUUGGAGAACUGAUUGAUCAUUUCAACCAUCCUGGCUGUCGAAUGCAUCUUUUCAUCAUCGGGAAACUCAUCAUACUCUC
rnacentral:lncRNA from 1 species